ACCAUGAAGCUGGAGUUACUAGUAAUCGCAGAUCAGAAUGCUGCGGUGAAUGCGUUCCCGGGUCUUGUACACACCGCCCGUCACACCACGGAAGUUGGGGGCGCCCGAAGCCACUUAGCUAACCCUUUUGGGAAGCGAGUGUCGAAGGUGAAAUCAAUAACUGGGGUGAAGUCGUAACAAGGUACC
rnacentral:rRNA from 1 species